GACGAACGCUGGCGGCGUGCCUAAUACAUGCAAGUCGAACGAGAGCGCCCGGUGCUUGCACUGGUCAAUCUAGUGGCGAACGGGUGAGUAACACGUGGGUAACCUGCCCAUCAGAGGGGGAUAACAUUCGGAAACGGAUGCUAAAACCGCAUAGGUCUUCGAACCGCAUGGUUUGAAGAGGAAAAGAGGCGCAAGCUUCUGCUGAUGGAUGGACCCGCGGUGCAUUAGCUAGUUGGUGAGGUAACGGCUCACCAAGGCCGUGAUGCAUAGCCGACCUGAGAGGGUGAUCGGCCACAUUGGGACUGAGACACGGCCCAAACUCCUACGGGAGGCAGCAGUAGGGAAUCUUCCGCAAUGGACGCAAGUCUGACGGAGCAACGCCGCGUGAGUGAAGAAGGUUUUCGGAUCGUAAAACUCUGUUGUUAGAGAAGAAUAAGUGCUAGAGCAACUGUUAGCGCCUUGACGGUAUCUAACCAGAAAGCCACGGCUAACUACGUG
rnacentral:rRNA from 1 species